UACAGAGACCGCAAGCGUUAUUCGGAUUCACUGGGCGUAAAGGGUGCGCAGGCGGCCAAGUGUGUGAGGCGUGAAAGCCCGGGGCUUAACUCCGGAAUUGCACCUCAAACUACAUGGCUAGAGCAUUGGAGAGGGUAGCAGAAUUCACGGUGUAGCAGUGAAAUGCGUAGAUAUCGUGAGGAAUACCAGAGGCGAAGGCGGCUACCUGGACAAUUGCUGACGCUCAGGCACGAAAGCGUGGGGAGCAAAAGGG
rnacentral:rRNA from 1 species